CAAUAGCGUAUAUUAAAGUUGUUGCAGUUAGAACGCUCGUAGUCGGAUUUCGGGGCGGGCCGACCGGUCUGCCGAUGGGUACGCACUGGUCGGCGCGUCCUUCCUUCCGGAGACCGUUCCUACUCUUAACUGAGCGGGGGCGGGAGACGGAUCGUUUACUUUGAAAAAAUCAGAGUGUUUCAAGCAGGCAGCUCGCUCUUGCAUGGAUUAGCAUGGGAUAAUGAAAUAGGACUUUGGUGCUAUUUUGUUGGUUUCGAACACCGAAGUAAUGAUUAAAAGGGACAGUCAGGGGCACUCGUAUUCCGCCGAGAGAGGUGAAAUUCUCAGACCAGCGGAAGACGAACUACUGCGAAAGCAUUUACCAAGGAUGUUUUCAUUA
rnacentral:rRNA from 1 species